rnacentral:misc_RNA from 1 species
UAGGCCCUCAGGGGGAAAGGAGAA